rnacentral:misc_RNA from 1 species
AGGAGGGCAAGCGUGUGCCGCUGACACGUGUGAGGAUAAGACCGAGCUUAUAUAAGGAGGCUAGAGCUGUAGUGAAGAUUAUCUUCCCUAGAGCUGUGAGCUCUAGGAGGGCAGUGUGUGGAAGGCUUCCUUGGUGGAGUUCUUGGAGGGCGAUGAAUUGUGAAUUGAGAGAAAUUGAGUCGGUCCGUCCUAUUUUCCUCUGAG